GCGGGCGUGGUGUACGGUACACAACCGCCUCGGGUGUUGGUCCCAUCUUUCAUUCUGGAGCGGCAGACCCGGGUUCGACUCCCGGCGUCCGCG